GUUGUUACAUUAUUGUAAGAAAUAACCGUCACUAAGUAACAUGAAGUAUACAAGUGGAAAAAGCUGUCUGGCAUUAAUAUUAUUUGCCAUUAUUGCCUUAACUUUGUGCAUUGCUAAUGCUCAAUUAGCUGGUAUUUGUGGCCCCCAAGGUCCUUUGUGCUCUCAAGACUUGGAUUGUGAAUCAGGAGUAUGCCAUUUUGGAUAAUUUCCAGGAAGCAAAUAAUAGCUCAAAGGAAAAGUUUACACCAGCUGGAAGGCAAAAAUAUUGGGCUUAACUUAAAAAAACUAGUUUUUUUAUGAUACUUUAAAAUAUGUUUACCAUGGAAUAGAAAAAUUAAAAAAUCUACAACUAA
rnacentral:sRNA from 1 species